rnacentral:rRNA from 1 species
UACGUAGGGGGCUAGCGUUGUCCGAAGAUCAUUGGGCGUAAAGCGCGUGUAGGCGGUCCGGUAAGUCCGCUGUGAAAGUCGAGGGCUCAACCCUCGAAUGCCGGUGGAUACUGUCGGGCUUGAGUACGGGAGAGGCGAGUGGAAUUCCUGGUGUAGCGGUGGAAUGCGCAGAUAUCGGGAGGAACACCAGUAGCGAAGGCGGCUCGCUGGGCCAUUCCUGACGCUGAGACGCGAAAGCUAGGGGAGCGAACAGG